rnacentral:misc_RNA from 1 species
GUCAAGAAAAGAGAAAAAGAAGAAAAAGUCGAUAAUACUGCAAAGCUUACUCCAACUUUAAGGAAAAGCAAUUAUAAUAUUUAAGGUUCAAAGACCAUAUGAUGCAGAGGACCAGGUGUAUGCUCACACUGGGAUAAUUCUUGUUCCAUAAGUGCGGUGUAGAUCCCCUUGUUUCUUAUGUUCAUUCUGUUUCUUAUUCUUCUUCUUCUUCUUUUUAUUAGUAUUAUUGUUAUUAUUAUCAUUAUUAUUAUUA